rnacentral:rRNA from 1 species
CAGUCGCCGCGGUAAUACGUAGGGUGCAAGCGUUAAUCGGAAUUACUGGGCGUAAAGCGUGUGCAGGCGGUCCGCUAAGACAGAUGUGAAAUCCCCGGGCUUAACCUGGGAACUGCAUUUGUGACUGGCGGGCUAGAGUAUGGCAGAGGGGGGUAGAAUUCCACGUGUAGCAGUGAAAUGCGUAGAGAUGUGGAGGAAUACCGAUGGCGAAGGCAGCCCCCUGGGCCAAUACUGACGCUCAGGUGCGAAAGCGUGGGGAGCAAACAGGAUUAGAUACCCGCGUAGUCCCUGUCUCUUAUAC